rnacentral:sRNA from 1 species
GAUUGACCAUGACGAAAUCGGGGUAUUCCACACAAGUUUUAGUUUCCAUCGAGUCAUUUCCAAAAAGUUUUAAAAAGUAAAAAAUCGAAAGGAAUGUAUUGCAAUCUCUUAAAAUAAACAAUUGUAGUAUGAAAGAAAGCGUCUCAGGGACUAACAGCAUAAUUUCGAGAGAAAACCAAUUUUAUUUGUACUUUUCAAAGGUCAUUUUCUGAGUUUCUUUAGCAGAAAUGUUCCAGAUAACAUUCCUGUUUGUUUUAGUGGCGAGUUUACCAGCCAAAUAUACUUUUGCUCAAGAAAAUUUUGUCUGUCAGAAAGGAACGUACCUACAGAGAGACCAACAGAAAUCAACCUCGUCUUGCGCUCCUUGUCGUCAAGGGACAUUCAUGUCUCACGACAACCACAAGUUCAUCUCCUGCCAGCCAUGCACGCAGCCCGAAAGUUUCAACCACGAAGUUAUGCUAAAAGACUGUACCGCUACUCACGACACGGUUAUAGGGUGCAGAAAACACUACUACCGUGUGGAGCAGAGGUUCGAAGACUUUAUCGAAGGAGAGUGUCAGAGAUGCACGGACUGCACUGUCCAUGGUCUGUACGUGGCGCAAGCCUGUGACGACCAGACGGACACUGUUUGCUGUCCGAAACCCGGGAUGACCAUUCUGAAAGACCAGUAUGGAAAAUACCAGUGUAAAUAGAUAUGUAUUAUUGGUAAAUAUUGUUCCACAAUUGCCCCUAAGAGGGUCUACAAAGACUUCCAACGGGGUCUAAAUAGUG